AUUCCCCUAGUAACUGCGAGUGAAGCGGGAAAAGCUCAAAUUUAAAAUCUGGUGGUCUUUGGCCAUCCGAGUUGUAAUUUAGAGAAGUGUCUUCCGCGCUGGACCGUGCACAAGUCUCCUGGAAUGGAGCGUCAUAGAGGGUGAGAAUCCCGUCUUUGGCACGGAUGCACCAGGGCUUUUGUGAUGCGCUCUCGAAGAGUCGAGUUGUUUGGGAAUGCAGCUCAAAAUGGGUGGUGAACUCCAUCUAAAGCUAAAUAUUGGCGAGAGACCGAUAGCGAACAAGUACCGUGAGGGAAAGAUGAAAAGCACUUUGGAAAGAGAGUGAAACAGUACGUGAAAUUGUUGAAAGGGAAACGCUUGAAGUCAGUCGCGUUGACCGAGACUCAGCCUUGCCUUGGCUUGGUGUACUUCUCGGCUGACGGGUCAGCAUCAAUUUUGCCCCUUGGAUAAUGGCGAGGGAAAUGUGACACCUUUAUGGUGUGUUAUAGUCUCUUGUCGCAUGUAAGGGUUGGGAUUGAGGAACUCAGCACGCACCUUCGGGUGUCGGGGCUCUGCCCACGAUACGUGCUUAGGAUGUUGGCGUAAUGGCUUUAAACGACCCGUCUUGAAACACGGACCAAGGAGUCUAACAUGCCUGCGAGUGUUCGGGUGGAAAACCCGUGCGCGCAAUGAAAGUGAAAGUUGGGACCUCUGUCGUGGAGGGCACCGACGCCCGGACCAGACCUUCUGUGACGGCUCUGCGGUGGAGCAUGUAUGUUAGGACCCGAAAGAUGGUGAACUAUGCCUGAAUAGGGUGAAGCCAGAGGAAACUCUGGUGGAGGCUCGUAGCGAUUCUGACGUGCAAAUCGAUCGUCAAAUUUGGGUAUAGGGGCGAAAGAC
rnacentral:rRNA from 1 species